GUAACGACGUCGGUAGAACUACGCGUACUACUACGGGGGAUAACACUUAGAAAUAGGUGCUAAUACCGCAUAAGCGCACAGCUUCGCAUGAAGCAGUGUGAAAAACUCCGGUGGUAUACGAUGGAUCCGCGUCUGAUUAGCUGGUUGGCGGGGUAACAGCCCACCAAGGCGACGAUCAGUAGCCGGCCUGAGAGGGUGAACGGCCACAUUGGGACUGAGACACGGCCCAAACUCCUACGGGAGGCAGCAG
rnacentral:rRNA from 1 species